UCUACAGGGACCUAGCAUAGAAACACAGAUGGUGGAAGAUGAAACUGAGACAACAAGUGAAGAUCUGCCCCCUCAUCUGCGGGAAGAACCUCCCGAAGAUCUCCAAGGUGAUCCGUGGCUGGGAGUGCAGGACUCUGAGCAGCCCAGUCUUCCAAAGAACUCACCUGAGAUAUUCUGAGCAGAACCAAAUGCCCUUUCUUUCGGACCUUUCAUAGGAAUAGAAGAAACGAAUAAAGGGGGAGCUAGCCUCUGUGUGUUCUCCGGCAGCAAGUUAAAUCAUGGUAGCAUGCGCUGUCAACACAACGUGGAGCAAAGAGAAGUCGGCGCUCUCUCUAAUCACUUUCCUCAUGUUCAGACUUGCCUCAGUGGAGCGCUUGUCAGCUGGCCAAGCCAGCUUGUCGUGGUGUCUGUUGUGUUCCUUUGACCAUUCCGUCCCCCUUGCGUAGAUGACAACUAUUUAAUUAGCUCAUUUUAGAAAGAUGGACCUGGCUGCAGGUCUCAGCUAGAAGCAUCACCACCAAUUCUCAAGAUGAAUACGUUGCCUUAUUUCCCCAAACCUCACGUUACAAGAGUUAUUUUUUGAGGAAGCAAACAGUCUUUAUCUUUUAUUUUUUAUUUUCUUUUGUUUUCCUUUUAUUCUUUAAUGCUCUUUUUUUGCCUCAGGGAGCUCUGGUAUUAAAAUAUUCAGCUG
rnacentral:lncRNA from 7 species